GUGCUCGCUUCAGCAGCGCGUAUACUAAAACUGGAACGACACAGAGAAGAUUAGCAUGGUCCCUGUGCAAGGAUGACACGGAAAUUUGAGAAACACUAAACUAGCUC